GUAUUGAUGGAUGGAUAAAAGGACGGACGUUUGUUACUCUUUUACGCAAAAGCUAUCAAAAGUAUUUCAAUGAAAUUUAAUACACGGGUAGGAUUUAUCUUAAGUUAGCACAUAGGGUACUUUAUAUACUAAAUCACGCGGUUGAAGCCGCAGGAUACAACUAGUAUACAACAUUUAAAAUAUGAUAUGGGAGAUAAUGUGUAUGAUAUAGGCCCAUGUGCAACAGUAGAUGGUAAAUAGUUGAAGAUAAUUAAAUACAAUAUAGUGGUUUAAAUAUUAUCAUUAAUAUGCUUUAUCAGCAGCUUUGUGCUCAUCAAUACAUACAUCAAAUAUUUGCACUUUUUAAUUUUGUUGCUUGCUGCUAUAAAAAUAAAGACCACUGCCCUAGUCCUCUAUAAUUAAUGUCGUCUUAUAGAACAGGGAAGAAAGUGUGUGGGUGCCGAGUUCCCUUAUAAAUGGCUAGUAUUGUCCGUUGUCCAGACAUAACUUAGAAGGGUUUUGAACCAAUCUGACGUCGGUUUCUUUGGGAUCAUUUUUAGUGUCUAAUAUUGUUAAUUAGCGGAAAUGAAAUUAAUCUACGUGUGUGUGUUACUGGCUGUGCUCAUGUGUUUAAUCAUCGCUGAUGCUUACCCUUUCCGAAGUGGAAAUAUAGAUUAUUUGGAGGCUUUGCGGAGAAUGCAACAAAUACCCCAAUGGCACUGUAUGCGAUAUCGACGGCUUCAGUUGCACGGCCAUUGCAACCGAUGGUUAAUGUUGAGAAGAACUUGAUAUCCGUAACCAGUAGGACAAAUAGUACUCGAUACUUAUUCUAUGAAUGGAUAUAACAUUCUUUUAAAUGUAUAAAAGUUUAUUGUUUUGCGAUAUUAUCGAGUAAAGCUUUGUCUUAUAGGUGUACCCAGUGUGUAUCCCAUAUAUUUCUAUGUAGUAAAGCUAGGUGAUGAAAGAAUUAAAUUUUUAAUAGACUUAUUUUUCAUAGAUAGAUCACCUUAGCAUAGUACAGACGUAAAUAUUUAAGUAAAUAUGUAAUUAUAAAAGUACAACAUAAAUAAUAUUAGGCAUACUUAGUACGUACUUACUUAUUGUUUAGUAGGUACCUUAAUUAUAAUGAUAUUUAUCUAUAUAUUAUAAAUUGUUAUUGAACAGCUAAUUAUUUUUUAUUGUUAUUCUAUUUAUUUUAAUUUCUUAUUCUUUUUUUUUUUAUAAAUUAAUGUGUAAUCAUUCCAGCAGAGAUAGAAAUAUUAACUAUGUACUGCAAUAAUAUACAUUGUGGUGAAAGAACUAUUAAUCAUCUGUGAACAUAUUGAAACUCAAACUGGCAGGGAGUAAAUACAAUUAAAUUUGGUAUUAACAUCGGAUUAUCAACACAUUGGGAUAAAACUUACAGACAAAAUUUUUUUUUCAUUAUGUGUACUUUCAUUAUGAUUUACUAAGGAUCUAAAUACAAAGAAACCGUUGUUGUUGCAUCAGUUGUAACUGUUAGUUUCCUGUAACUGGAAACUAGGACAAUUCCAGAGCGUAGCGGACUAAUCAGAAGAGGGACACGCGGUAUAACAUGAGACCACAGUCGUUACAACUCUGACUCACAACAGCUUUAUAUCUUUUAUGAAACUAUGAGAUUGUUCGAGAAACUUGUUGUAUCGACUUGUUUGAUUCUAAUAGAGGUAUUAUUAAGCAACUACUUUUAUAUGAGUUUUAAAUUUAAUUAAUUGAUCAAUAUUUAACAUACAUACAUGAUAGACACUAUAUAACAUUAUACUUAAAAGAAAAUAGGUAAAUUGUGCAUCUAUAUUAAUAUCACGAGAUAAUAUAAAAUUUGUUAAGUUCUAAUGUCACGAUAGUGAUAUUUGUGAGCUAAAAUAUCAAGCGAAAGGUGUGCUUCUGUGUGUCACGUCAUUUGUAUGAUGCAACAAAAAUAAUUCCAUGAAUAUAUUGUAUAGAAC